CAUGUAAUGCGUUACUAUGAACGAAGCGUAACUUGAACAGUGCCUAACAAAAUACAUGCAGCUAUCCUUUGUCUUUAAAUCAUUUGAAUUUCGUUCCAGAGAAGGCUGGGUUGACUUCCAGGUUACUAGCAUACGUGGGAUGACGAGCGUCGAUCUGAAGACCAUAGUAGGGAUUGAGCCAACCGAUGAUGCACCAGAAGAGUUUCCUCAUACUUACCUUGUGUUGAAGGCUCAAAGAAACUGUCUGCUUGUCUCAUAUGGUCAAUCAAGUAAUGGAACGCAAAGGUGUCUGCUGUGGGGAUUAUCUGGAAGCCAUGUUAGCAAACAAACUCAAUGCUAUAAGGCGCUCAAUUCAUUUUGCGCUCCAGACAUAUACGAUAUGACGGAAACUGCCAGUUCAUGUCAGCAAUACGAUCUUAAUGAAGACACGUGAAAAGAAAGCACAGCAGUAUGAGAAAAAACAUUAGCACCACGUCCACCAAAUUGUUGAAAAUAAAGAAAAAC
rnacentral:lncRNA from 1 species